UACGUAGGGGGCGAGCGUUGUCCGGAAUUAUUGGGCGUAAAGAGCUCGUAGGCGGUCUGUCGCGUCUGCUGUGAAAUCUCGGAGCUCAACUCCGAAACUGCCUUCAAUACUGCUGUGCUCGAGGACUGUAGAGGAGAAUGGAAUUCACGGUGUAGCAGUGAAAUGCGUAGAUAUCGUGAGGAAGACCAGUGGCAAAGGCGAUUCUCUGGGCAGUUCCUGACACUGAGGCACGAAGGCUAGGGGAGCAAACGGG
rnacentral:rRNA from 1 species